CUGCCCUGUCUAGUAUCAGCUGCUGUCCCCUUGGCUGUCCAGUCUCUUUCCAUUGCCAGAUAAACCUCAGUCUGCAGAAAGGCAGGGCCACAACACUGGCCUCUCCAUUUCGAAGGCUGAGAAAACAC